rnacentral:rRNA from 1 species
CCCUACGGGGUGCACCAAUCCCUCCAGGCAGUCUUCAAAAGAGGAUUUCCAGCUGUUGUAAUCGAAAGUGUAAAUGUUCUUGAAACCGGCGCCCUUGAGCCAGCAACGGUACAGCACCCAGGCUCCGGCGUUGUGGUAAAGCCCGUGGAUCAGAAUGAUGGGUGGAAACCUGCAGGUGAGAUCCGGCUCGGGGUGGCGUUGCCUCCCCCAGAAACCAAGGGGAUAAAGGAGAACGACAAGGAACAGGCUGAAAAAACUGGAGAGAAUUCCCCUUAGAAUCCAGGUCCUCAUUUUUCCCUGUGAAAGAUGGUCCAGUUCGUGUCGGUAAGCCGAAUUGGCGGGAGAGC